rnacentral:tRNA from 1 species
GGGCCUGUAGCUUAGUAGGAUGUCAAAUGACGCAGGUUUUACCUGCGUCCACCUGCAGUAGAGCGUCAGAUUGCGGAUCUGGAGGUCGCGGGUUCAAAGAGCGUCUGAAGCAGGUUUCACCUGCUUCGUUCGAAAUUCCCGCCAGGCCCA